CCUACGGGACGCAGCAGUGGGGAAUAUUGGACAAUGGGGGGAAGCCUGAUCCAGCGACGCCGCGUGAGCGAGGAAGUAUUUCGGGAUGUAAAGCCCUAUCGGCAGGGAAGAGGAGAUGACGGUACCUGAAUAAGAAGCAACGGCUAAAUACGUGCCAGCAGCCGCGGUAAUACGUAUGGGGCAAGCGUUAUCCGGAUUUACUGGGCGUAAAGGGAGCGCAGGCGGCUCGCCAAGUCUGAUGUGAAACCCCGGGGCUCAACCCCGGACCUGCAUUUGAAACUGUUGAGCUGGAGUGCCGGAGAGGG
rnacentral:rRNA from 1 species